rnacentral:rRNA from 1 species
GGAAUCUUGUGCAAUGGACGAAAGUCUGACACAGCCACGCCGCGUGCGGGAAGAAGGCCUUCGGGUUGUAAACCGCUUUCAGCAGGAACGAAAAUGACGGUACCUGCAGAAGAAGGAGCGGCCAACUACGUGCCAGCAGCCGCGGUAAUACAUAGGGUGCAAGCGUUGUCCGGAAUUAUUGGGCGUAAAGAGCUCGUAGGUGGUUCGAUACGUCGGAUGUGAAAAUCAGGGGCUCAACCCCUGACCUGCAUCCGAUACGGUCGAGCUGGAGUUUGGUAGGGGAGACUGGAAUUCCUGGUGUAGCGGUGGAAUGCGCAGAUAUCAGGAGGAACACCGAUGGCGAAGGCAGGUCUCUGGGCCAAUACUGACACUGAGGAGCGAAAGCGUGGGGAGCGAACAGGAUUAGAUACCCUGGUAGUCCACGCCGUAAACGGUGGGCGCUAGUUGUGCGAACCUUCCACGGUUUGUGCGACGCAGCUAACGCAUUAAGCGCCCCGCCUGGGGAGUAC